UAGGGAAUCUUCCACAAUGGACGCAAGUCUGAUGGAGCAACGCCGCGUGAGUGAAGAAGGGUUUCGGCUCGUAAAGCUCUGUUGUUAAAGAAGAACGUGGGUAAGAGUAACUGUUUACCCAGUGACGGUAUUUAACCAGAAAGCCACGGCUAACUACGUGCCG
rnacentral:rRNA from 1 species